rnacentral:rRNA from 1 species
UAAUACGAACUGUGCGAACGUUAUUCGGAAUCACUGGGCUUACAGGGUGCGUAGGCGGCUUGUUAAGUAGGGUGUGAAAGCCCCCGGCUCAACCGGGGAAUUGCGCCCUAAACUGGCGAGCUGGAGUGAGAUAGGGGUGUGUGGAACUUCCGGUGGAGCGGUGAAAUGUGUUGAUAUCGGAAGGAACGCCGGUAGCGAAAGCGACACACUGGGUCUUGACUGACGCUGAGGAGCGAAAGCCAGGGGAGCAAACGG